GGAGAGGUGGCUGAGCGGUUGAAGGCGGCAGUCUUGAAAACUGUUGACCGUUAAUAGCGGUCCGUGGGUUCAAAUCCCACCCUCUCCG
rnacentral:tRNA from 1 species